GGAGAGGUGGCAGAGUGGUUGAUUGCGGCGGUCUCGAAAACCGCUAGGAGUGCAAGCUCCUCGAGGGUUCGAAUCCCUCCCUCUCCG
rfam:Halothece sp. PCC 7418, complete genome.